rnacentral:rRNA from 1 species
UACGUAGGGUGCAAGCGUUGUCCGGAAUUAUUGGGCGUAAAGAGCUCGUAGGCGGUCUGUCACGUCUGCUGUGAAAACUCGGGGCUUAACCCCGGGCCUGCAGUGGGUACGGGCAGACUAGAGUGCGGUAGGGGAGACUGGAAUUCCUGGUGUAGCGGUGAAAUGCGCAGAUAUCAGGAGGAACACCGGUGGCGAAGGCGGGUCUCUGGGCCUGUUCUGACGCUGAGGCGCGAAAGCUAGGGGAGCGAACAGG